GUUGUAUUGUAGGAUGAUGAUAGAAAGCAGAGUGAAGCCCAAUCAUUUUACGUUUGCUAGUGUUUUGAAGGCAUGUGGGAAUCUUUUUAAUGCGGAUUUGGGUGUACAGAUAUACAAUCAUGUAGUGAAAUUGGGUCUUGCAUCAGUUAAUCUUGUUGGCAAUUCUUUGAUUAGCAUGUAUGCUAAGACUGAUAGGAUGGAAGAUGCACGAAAAGCUUUUGAAUUUUUAUUUGAGAGAAAUUUGAUUUCUUAUAAUGCACUUAUUGAUGGUUAUGCUAGGAAUUCGGAUUCUAACGAAGCUUUUGAGCUUUAUAGUCAAAUUGAUGGUUCAAGAAUUGGUCUUGAUGCUUUUACAUUUGCAAGUCUCUUGAGCGGAGCUGCAAGUGUUGGAGCAGUUGGUAAGGGAGAGCGAAUACAUGCUCAACUGCUGAAAUCCGGGUUUGAGUCUGACCAAUGUGUUGCUAAUGCUUUGAUUUCGAUGUAUACCAGGUGUGGUAACAUAGAAGCUGCAUUUCAAGUUUUCGAACAAAUGGAAGAUUGGAAUGUGAUAUCAUGGACUUCCAUAAUCACAGGCUUUGCUAAACACGGAUUCGCCAAAAGAUCUUUGGAAUUAUUCAAGCAAAUGCUUGAUUUUGGCGCAAAACCGAAUGAGGUCACUUAUAUUGCUGUUUUGUCAGCUUGUAGCCAUGCAGGUCUAAUUGAUGAGGGAUGGAGAUACUUCCAUCUGAUGUACAAAGAACAUAGGAUACAUCCGAGGAUGGAACAUUAUGCAUGCAUGGUUGAUUUGUUAGGUCGCUCGGGACUUCUAGAAAAGGCCAUACAAUUCAUCGAGUCAAUGCCUUUUAUGGCUAACGCUCUGGUUUGGCGCACAUUGCUUAGUGCUUGUCGAGUCCAUGGCAAUGCAGAACUUGGGAAAGAUGCAGCAGAGAUGAUUCUUGAGCAGGAUCCAAAUGAUCCAGCAGCUUAUAUUUUAUUAUCAAACUUGUACGCUUCAAGUGGUCAGUGGGGGAAGGUGGCAAAAAUCAGAAAAUGUAUGAAAGAAAGAAAUUUGGUUAAGGAGGCAGGGUGCAGCUGGAUGGAAGCAGAAAAUAAGUUACACAAGUUUUAUGUAGGAGAUACUAAACAUCCUCGGACAAGGGAUAUAUAUGAAGAACUAGAUCGGUUGUUGCUUGAAAUAAAGGAGAUGGGCUAUGUCCCAAACAAUGAUUUUGUACUUCAUGAAGUGGAGGAGGAGCAAAAGGAACAAUAUUUGUUUCAACAUAGUGAAAAAAUAGCUUUGGCAUUUGGUCUUAUUAGCACAAGUAAGCCAAACCCCAUUAGGAUUUUUAAAAAUCUUCGAGUCUGUGGAGAUUGUCAUGCAGCCAUGAAAUACAUAUCGAUUGCAACAGGGAGAGAGAUAGUGGUAAGGGAUUCAAACAGGUUUCACCACAUCAAAAAUGGGUCAUGUUCCUGUAACGAUUACUGGUGAAAGCUUUUUGAAUCACAGCAAUGAUCGAAAAUGCAACUUUGGUCAUGGUUCUACAUUCGUUACAACAAGCUGUUGCAUUUCUUGGGUGGUUCUGUACACAUCACUUUGUUAGUAAUAAGUAUUGCAAAGAACAUGAACAUUAUGAAGCCUGAGAGUCUUCAUUUGAAGGAAGGCCUAGCGGAUCAUGCAGGUUCUGCUUCAAGUUUGAAAUAAGAAAAUUCUAAAGUGACUCAAUCUUUCCUUUUAUUUAUUUAUUUAUUAUUAUUUUUUUUUUGGGGGGGGGGGGGGGGGGGGGGGGGGGGGUCCGUGAAGAUCCCACCAGAGUACUCUUGUAAUCUUAUAAUAGAUGCAGAAUUACCCCUUUCUUAUUGAGCUCGGGAACGUGUGAUUAUAAGGUGGUGUAGACAUUUGGUCAUGCUCAAUGAUACGUACAAACAUCAUAGUGCUAGAUUUCAAGGAAUAUCGAGGAUUUACACAAAUGGUUGAUAGGGCUGAGCCGUGUUUUGGUUUUUUCUUUGUUGUGUUUUUGAAACAACAUUUUGGACCAUAAGUUAUAUGUUGAAAUGCUAAAGUUGUAAAUUCUAGUGGCUUGCAUGUUGUAGUGACAUGUAUAAAUUUUAUGCUCUUUCAUACGUUUAUGAGAAGUGGAGAGUAUUUUUUUUUGUACUUAAAAGUUACUAGAAGAAUUCAGGAGAGUAUAUUUAAAUGAGACUUUAAUAACCAAGUGAUAGACUAUUAUAGAUUUAUAUAUAAUGAUCUAAUGAGCACCAAUGCUAAUCUUAUACUAAACACGAUGACGUGUCAUAUCAAUUCAUUAAUGGAUAAUAAAUUUCAAUCAAAUACUAAAAUUCAUAAGAACUUUGUCCACCAAUGGAUAGCUAUGACUCGUCAUUGGUACUCAUCUUAUACUAAGCACCAAUAACGUGUCAUAUCAAUUCAUUAGUUGAUAAUUGUAAAAUGGAUCUCAACAUUUUAAAAAAAAUAAAAAGUAAUGAAGAAAUUUUUAAUAUUCGGUAUUAUCAAUGUCUUUAGAGAGUAAAAAACCAAUCCAUGUAUAUAUAAUUUAAUUACAGUUAGCCUUUUUAUAAAAUUUAACUGUGAAAAGAUUGUUACUUCUAUGGAAUGCAUGGUUGGUCCAGAAGGCGAUCUCACAGAAACCACAGAAGAGCAGUGUCACCGCCUGUCACUCAAAGGUCCUCUUUUAUCCAUUGAUGAGAUGGAAGCAAUUAAGAAGAUGAACUACAGAGGCUGGCGAAGCAAAGUUAUUGAUAUCACUUACUCGAAGCAUCAUGACAGGAAUGGUCUGGAGGAGACCUUAAAUAAGAUAUGUUCAGAAGCUCACAACGCUAUUAAGGAGGGUUAUACAACGCUCGUGCUCUCUGACAGAGGU
rnacentral:lncRNA from 1 species